rnacentral:rRNA from 1 species
AUUGAACGCUGGCGGCAGGCCUAACACAUGCAAGUCGAACGGCAGCGGGGGGAAGCUUGCUUCCCCGCCGGCGAGUGGCGGACGGGUGAGUAAUGCCUGGGGAGCUGCCCAAUCGAGGGGGAUACCAGUUGGAAACGACUGCUAAUACCGCAUACGCCCUGAGGGGGAAAGGUGGGGAUCUUCGGACCUAUCGCGAUUGGAUGCACCCAGGUGGGAUUAGCUAGUUGGUGAGGUAACGGCUCACCAAGGCGACGAUCUCUAGCUGGUCUGAGAGGAUGACCAGCCACACGGGAACUGAGACACGGUCCAGACUCCUACGGGAGGCAGCAGUGGGGAAUAUUGCACAAUGGGGGAAACCCUGAUGCAGCCAUGCCGCGUGUGUGAAGAAGGCCUUCGGGUUGUAAAGCACUUUCAGCGAGGAGGAAAGGGUGGAAGCUAAUACCUUUCAUCUGUGACGUUACUCGCAGAAGAAGCACCGGCUAACUCCGUGCCAGCCGCCGCAGUAA